CGCAUAUUAGCUCAACGGCUGAGCACAUCCCUCUUAAGGAUAAGGAGCGGGUUCGAUUCCCGCAUCUGCGACCA
rnacentral:tRNA from 1 species